rnacentral:tRNA from 1 species
GCUCUUGUGGUGUAGUGGUUAUCACAUCUGCUUUACACGCAGAAGGUCUCCGGUUCGAACCCGGGCGGGAGCU